GUACUGAGACACGGACCAGACUCCUACGGGAGGCAGCAGUGAGGAAUAUUGGGCAAUGGAGGCAACUCUGACCCAGCCAUGCCGCGUGAAGGAUGACGGCCCUAUGGGUUGUAAACUUCUUUUAUAUGGGAAGAAACUUGUCUACGUGUAGAUAACUGACGGUACCAUACGAAUAAGGAUCGGCUAACUCCGUGCCAGCAGCCGCGGUAAUACGGAGGAUCCAAGCGUUAUCCGGAUUCAUUGGGUUUAAAGGGUCC
rnacentral:rRNA from 1 species